GGGCGAGUGAAAAGAUUUAAGAUAAGUAGUUAAAUUGGAUUUUUAAGUUUGGAUUAUGUAUAGAGAUAAAAAGGUGAAAUUUAUAUAUUUUAAGUAAGUUUUUUGGAUUUAAAGAUAUAUUGAGACUAUUAAGAUAAAGAUAUAAAACGGGAUUAGAUACCCCGUUAUACUUUUUUAAAAAAUUAUUGCUUGGGUAGUAAACAGGUAUAUGCUCGAAACCCAAAGAAUUUGGCGGUAUUUAAGUCCAGUUAGAGGAACCUGUGCCGUAAACGAUAAACCACGAUUAUCUUACUUUACUUAGUAAGAAACAGUUUGUAUACCGCCAUUAUUAGAUAAACUUUGAAGGGGGUUUUUGUAUUUAAAUUAUUUAGAUAUAUUAGGUCAAGGUGCAGCCAAUGGUAGAGGGUUGUAUGGGUUACAUUGUAUUUUAUAUAUACGGAUUUUUAAUUGAUGAAAUAAUAAAAUGAAGGUGGAUUUAAUAGUAAGUUUAGUUAAUUAAGCUAGAUUGAUAAAGGCUCUUGAAUAUGUACACAUCGCCCGUCGUUCUCACUUA
rnacentral:rRNA from 1 species